AUACGGAGGGUGCAAGCGUUAUCCGGAAUCAUUGGGUUUAAAGGGUCCGGAGGCGGGCGAUUAAGUCAGAGGUGAAAUCCCACAGCUCAACUGUGGAACUGCCUUUGAUACUGGUUGUCUUAAAUUUUAGUGAAGUAGAUAGAAUAUGUAGUGUAGCGGUGAAAUGCAUAGAUAUUACAUAGAAUACCGAUUGCGAAGGCAGUCUACUAACUAACAAUUGACGCUAAUGGACGAAAGCGUGGGGAGCGAACAGGAUUAGAAACCCUAGUAGUCC
rnacentral:rRNA from 1 species